UACGAAGGGGGCUAGCGUUGCUCGGAAUCACUGGGCGUAAAGCGCACGUAGGCGGCUUCUUAAGUCAGGGGUGAAAUCCUGGAGCUCAACUCCAGAACUGCCUUUGAUACUGAGGAGCUUGAGUCCGGGAGAGGUGAGUGGAACUGCGAGUGUAGAGGUGAAAUUCGUAGAUAUUCGCAAGAACACCAGUGGCGAAGGCGGCUCACUGGCCCGGUACUGACGCUGAGGCGCU
rnacentral:rRNA from 1 species